CCUACGGGAGGCAGCAGUGGGGAAUAUUGGACAAUGGGGGGAACCCUGAUCCAGCGACGCCGCGUGAGUGAAGAAGUAUUUCGGUAUGUAAAGCUCUAUCAGCAGGGAAGAAAGAAAUGACGGUACCUGACUAAGAAGCCCCGGCUAACUACGUGCCAGCAGCCGCGGUAAUACGUAGGGGGCAAGCGUUAUCCGGAUUUACUGGGUGUAAAGGGAGCGUAGACGGCGAAGCAAGUCUGAAGUGAAAGGCGGGGGCGCAACCCCCGGACUGCUUUGGAAACUGUAUGGCUGGAGUGCAGGAGAGGUAAGUGGAAUUCCUAGUGUAGCGGUGAAAUGCGUAGAUAUUAGGAGGAACACCAGUGGCGAAGGCGGCUUACUGGACUGUAACUGACGUUGAGGCUCGAAAGUGUGGGGAGCAAACAGGAUUAGAUACCCCAGUAGUC
rnacentral:rRNA from 1 species